AAUUUAUCUCACUAUCAAUUUUGCAGGAUAUUGAUUGAUCCAGUCUCUCAAUACUUUUAUAAAAUAGCUUAAUCCUAGUCUCUCCAAGAAAAAUUGUUGUUCAACUGUGUAGUACCAUAGUAACAGUUCUCAGAUUCUCAGAUUAUUAAAUUUGUUUCUCCAAGAUAUAGUAUCCUUGAAAAUGCGCAUUGACACCCCCAUGGCUGGGGGAUAUAUUAUCUUUUUUCCUUCAAAGUGCCAUUGAUAAUUACUGCACGUAGGAGCUAUGGAUAAAAAUAGUUAUCAUUUGUUGAAUGUCUACUACGUGUCUAGAACUAUGCCAGGAACUUAAUGAAAUUGUCUUAUUUAGUCUUCACAGUUGCUCCACAAGGGAUUGUAUUAAUGUCAUUAUCUUGAUUUUACAGAUGAGAAAACUCAAGACUCAGAAACAAUAAAGGUUACAGAGAUGAAAUUGACAGAGCCUGAAUUUCAGUAUGUCAAACUUCAAUGUGCCAUUAUACUUUUAAAUCCUACAGAACAGAUUGAAUCACAACUUCUACUUUUACAUGAGAGAAGACAAUGGGUCCUAUGACUUACUGUCAGUUUCCUUUUCCUGAUUUAAUUAGCUGCUUCUGUAUCUAAUUUUGCUAGGAAUGGAGGAAUAAGGCAAAUUCCCUAAACUACAUAUUGACAUUUAUACUAAUGUGAAAACCUCAAGUCCAUUUGCAGACUUUUGGAUUAGAUUCUGUCCCAGAAAGACAUCCACCCUAGAGUUCAGGAUAUCAUACCCAUUUUACUGUUCCCCUGGCACAAUUCAUAGUAAGGAAAAACAGACAAGGGGAAAGCUAUUAGAUUCUCGGUGCUGCUAAACAGGACACACAAGGACACCAUUUUGUGAUGAUGAUGGUGCUUUAUGCAGCUUCCACCAUUUACAAGAUUUUCCUGUGGUGUGGAACCUCUCAUGAUAAAGCAAAGGAACUAGAAGCUUAUUCCAGUCAAGAUUUCUGAUUUAUCUUGUGGGUUAUGAUUCUGUAUGGUUUCUUUGGUGCUGCAUUAGACCUGAGCUCUGAUUGAAAAUUCUUCCACGCUCGCUACAUUCCAAAACUUUAUCUCCAAUAUGAAUUUCCAGAUGCCUCACAAGGUCUGAGCUCCAUCUGAAGGCUUUCCCAUGCUUGUCACAUUCAUAGGGCUUUUCUCCACUAUGAAUUCUAUGAUGUCGAAUAAAGUGUGAGCUCUGAUUACAAGUCUUUGAACAUUCAUUGCAUUCACAAAGUUUCUUUCCACUGUGAAUUCUUUGAUGCUGAAUAAGUUGUGAGCUCCCCUUCAAAUCUUUCCCACACCCAAUGCAUUUAUAAGGCCUCUCUCUCACCUUGUAUGGAUUCUCUGAUGUUCUGUAAGGACUGAGUUCUGGCCAGGCGCAGUGGCUCACGCCUGUAAUCCCAGCACUUUGGGAAACCGAGGCGGGUGGAUCAGCUGGGCUCAGGAGUUCGAGACCAGCCUGGCCAGCAUGGUGAAAGCCCCUCUCUACUAAAAAUACAAAAAUUAGCCGGGUGUGGUGGUGGGUGCCUGUAAUCCCAGCUAAUUGGGAGGCUGGGGCUGGAGAAUUACUUGAACCUGGGAGGUGGAGGUUGCAGUGAGCCGAGAUCGGGCCACUGCACUCCAGCCUGGCAGCAGUGUGAGACUCCGUCCCAAAAAAUAACAAACAAACAAAAAAGACACCAGAGGGCUUUGGGUCCCUCUCUCUCUGCCAUGUGAGGACCCUGUGAGAAGGCAGCCAGGGAGCUCUCACCAGAACCUGACCAUGUUGGGCCCUGGUCACAGCCUUGCAGCCUCCAAAACUGAGAAAAUAAAUUUCUGUUGUCUGGCAUCCAGUCUAUGGUAUUUUGUUACGGCAGCCCGAGCUAAGACAGAGGAAAACUGGGGGCUGAUGUGACGGCGGGGACUUUAGGUAGAAGGACCCCACGUCAAAAGUCAAAGCUAAAAAUUCUGGAACGAGCCAGGAAGGCAUCAGGACGUCUCAUUUUAUUUGCUAGAGGCAUCUUUUGGGGGGUGGGGCGGUGGGUGGGUGGAAGGAGAUGUGGCCAGUGAGCCUCUGACUUUUAAUUGAGUUAUUUCGAAACAAGGAACAGAGGGCCGGAUGUGGUGGGUCGUGCCUGUAAUUCCAGCACUUUGCGAGGCCGAGGCCAGUGGAUCACCUGAGGUCAGGAGUUCAAGACCAGCCUGGCCAACAUGGUGAAACCCUCUCUCUACUAAAAAUACAAAAUUAGCCUGGCGUGGUGGGGGGCGCCUGUAAUCCCAGCUACUCGGGAGGCUGAGGCGGGACAACAGCUUUAACCCGGGAGGCGGAGGUUACAGUGAGCCGAGAUGGCGCCACUGCACUCCGGCUUGGGCAACAGAGCAAGACUCCGUCUCCAAAAACACACACACACACACACACAAAACCCAAAACGGAACAGAGGCAGUUCUGUAUUCCAGAGGGAUUGAUUUGUGAUGCCUGCUCAAAACUCAAGAAGCCACCACCCUGAUACUCAUCAAACCCCGGAGAAAUUUCGUUUUUAGAGUGUCAGAAGGCCCCAUGAAUAACCUUCCAGUCACUGAGGGAGGUCCCUACUCAGCACGCCCCGGUCUCCUUCACUCUCCUGCACUCGUGCCUCACAGAUGGCCUCAUGCGCGGACUGGCGGUCCAGCCUCCCGGGGACACAGCCCGGGCGCACCCCGCGCCGCCUUUGGCCACUGAGGCGGUCCUCGAGGCGCCGGGCUAGGGAAAGCCUCCCCGGCCGUCAAGGCUGGGAUAGCGCCGGGGGAUCGGGGCGGGGUGCGUGCGCCGAAAGGGCCUCAAAGCUGUAGGGCUGGACGGCACAAAGGGGCGCAAGGCACGGAGGCCAGGCAGAGGGGACAGCUAGCGGCGCGGCGGGACGGGCGGGCCCCGACGCCCAGCUCCAAAUGCGUGGCCGCUGUGGGAGCUCGUCUCCAGGCGCCCAUCAGUCUUCCCCUCACUCGACGCUACCUUGGCGGCCGCGCCCAUGCUGUCCCCGCUCCAACUAGCAGUCAGGAGGGGCCGCGGGCAGCGCUCGAGACGCUCAUUGAGAGGACUUCCCGCCUGCGGGCUCUCUGCUCGACGCCACUCCCGGCCCCGCUCCGGG
rnacentral:lncRNA from 1 species